rnacentral:rRNA from 1 species
GAUGAACGCUGACAGAAUGCUUAACACAUGCAAGUCUUUGGCGAAUCUGUGCUUGCACAGGCUAGCCAAGGCGGACGGGUGAGUAACGCGUAAAGAACUUGCCCUGCAGACAGGGAUAACAGACGGAAACGACUGAUAACACCUGAUACAGUUGCCGGCACGCAUGUGCCUGGCAAUGAAAAGAGAUGCUGCAGGAGAGCUUUGCGUCCUAUUAGCUUGUUGGUGAGGUGACGGCUCACCAAGGCGAUGAUAGGUAGCCGGCCUGAGGGGGUGAACGGCCACAAGGGGACUGAGAUACGGCCCUUACUCCUACGGGAGGCAGCAGUGGGGAAUAUUGGACAGUGGGGGCAACCCUGAUCGAGCAAUUCUGUGUGCAAGAAGAAGGUUUUCGGAUUGUAAAGUGCUUUCAGCAGAGAAGAAGAAAGUGACGGUACCUGCAGAAGAAGCGACGGCUAAAUACGUG